CACUCCUGCGGGAGGCAGCAGUGGGGAAUUUUGGACAAUGGGCGAAAGCCUGAUCCAGCAAUGCCGCGUGCAGGAUGAAGGCCUUCGGGUUGUAAACUGCUUUUGUACGGAACGAAAAAGCUCCUUCUAAUACAGGGGGCCCAUGACGGUACCGUAAGAAUAAGCACCGGCUAACUACGUGCCAGCAGCCGCGGUAAUACGUAGGGUGCGAGCGUUAAUCGGAAUUACUGGGCGUAAAGCGUGCGCAGGCGGUUAUGUAAGACAGAUGUGAAAUCCCCGGGCUCAACCUGGGAACUGCAUUUGUGACUGCAUGGCUAGAGUACGGUAGAGGGGGAUGGAAUUCCGCGUGUAGCAGUGAAAUGCGUAGAUAUGCGGAGGAACACCGAUGGCGAAGGCAAUCCCCUGGACCUGUACUGACGCUCAUGCACGAAAGCGUGGGGAGCAAACAGGAUUAGAUACCCUGGUAGUCCCAU
rnacentral:rRNA from 1 species